rnacentral:rRNA from 1 species
GAUGAACGCUGGCGGCGUGCCUAAUACAUGCAAGUCGAGCGAACGGACGAGAAGCUUGCUUCUCUGAUGUUAGCGGCGGACGGGUGAGUAACACGUGGAUAACCUACCUAUAAGACUGGGAUAACUUCGGGAAACCGGAGCUAAUACCGGAUAAUAUUUUGAACCGCAUGGUUCAAAAGUGAAAGACGGUCUUGCUGUCACUUAUAGAUGGAUCCGCGCUGCAUUAGCUAGUUGGUAAGGUAACGGCUUACCAAGGCAACGAUGCAUAGCCGACCUGAGAGGGUGAUCGGCCACACUGAAACUGAGACACGGUCCAGACUCCUACGGGAGGCAGCAGUAGGGAAUCUUCCGCAAUGGGCGAAAGCCUGACGGAGCAACGCCGCGUGAGUGAUGAAGGUCUUCGGAUCGUAAAACUCUGUUAUGAGGGAAGAACAUAUGUGUAAGUAACAGUGCACAUCUUGACGGUACCUAAUCAGAAAGCCACGGCUAACUACGU